rnacentral:rRNA from 1 species
AGUGAACGCUGGCGGUAGGCCUAACACAUGCAAGUCGAACGGCAGCACAGUAAGAGCUUGCUCUUACGGGUGGCGAGUGGCGGACGGGUGAGGAAUACAUCGGAAUCUACUUUUUCGUGGGGGAUAACGUAGGGAAACUUACGCUAAUACCGCAUACGACCUACGGGUGGAAGCAGGGGAUCUUCGGACCUUGCGCGAUUGAAUGAGCCGAUGUCGGAUUAGCUAGUUGGCGGGGUAAAGGCCCACCAAGGCGACGAUCCGUAGCUGGUCUGAGAGGAUGAUCGACCACCCUGGAACUUAGACACGGUCCAGACUCCUACGGGAGGCAGCAGUGGGGAAUAUUGGACAAUGGGCGCAAGCCUGAUCCAGCCAUACCGCGUGGGUGAAGAAGGCCUUCGGGUUGUAAAGCCCUUUUGUUGGGAAAGAAAAGCAGCAGGUUAAUACCCCGCUGUUCUGACGGUACCCAAAGAAUAAGCACCGGCUAACUUCGUG